ACUAUUUGUCCACAUCUGAUGCAAAGAGUUUCUUGUUUCAGGAAGCCAACUCCAAAAUUGUAUUUCCUUGAGAUGAUUCAUCUGGUGGUGCAGUAGUGCCCCUGAAAGAAAGUCAGAGGAGGUUGGCAACAGUCCAUAGUAUUUCAGACUUCAGUGAAUCAUGGAACAUGGUUGGCUUGUGUGAGACAUCUUGGUUGAUGCAAGGCUGGUUGAAAUACAACAAAGAACUUAAGCACAUUACUGAAUUUUAAACCAGAGUGGCAUCUUAUGGCUUGACAUCUGCUUACAUACUGUGCUGGGAAAAGAUGCUACUGUGUAUUGCAGGUGUAUCAAGCAGGGAGAACACCUUUAUCACUAUAUAAGAUCUGAGGCUCAGGUCCUUCUUUAGUUCUUGUAUUUAAUUCAUGUGCUUCAGAUGUCAGGAAAAAAAAAUAGUUUUUCUGAUUUCCUUAAUGAGUCCCCAGCUUGUCAAAGUUCUUAGCUCAAGUUAGCACUUUACAACAUGAAUCCCAUUUUCAGCAUCAAGCAGGAUAAAACCCUGACACAUUUGCAAAACCAAGUGAAGUCUGAGAUAGCAAAAACAUUUCCAGAACUGUGGGAAGUAAUCAAAGGCAACAUUAAAUCUACUUGAUUCUCUUUCAUUGGCAACCACCUGGGUGUCCAGAUAGGUAAUUCAGAACAAAUGUGGUUUUUUGAGUGACUAGAAACAACUGGAAUGAAAAUCCAUUUUCACAUCAAUUGCUAAACACUGACCAAAGGAACAAAUAUGAUGCUGAACCAUGUUCUAAUCCAGGGGGGGCAUAUAGAAGUCUGUCUGUCUCCAACUAAAACAUCUUCUGUAAAAUUAUCCUGUUUGAGGACAAUUUCUGUCUCAAGGUGGCAAUUCAAAUCCUGAAGUAUGUGAAGACAGUGAAUUCUGUUGCCACAUCUGCUCUCAGUGAAUUGAUCAGAGUUCCUGGUAAACUGUUGAAGUAUAAGUGUAAUGAAAAGCAUCCUUCAGCAUCUAUCAUGAAUAUACACACCUGUGGCUCCGUAAUGACCUUGCAAGCCAAAAUCAGGGAGCCUGGGAAAACUUUGGUAUGGAUAUACUUGUUGCAUCAAAGUCCUUGAGGUUAUUGCCUACACUGUACUUAGCAGCAGUUUUGAAGCACCACAAGAGUUUGUAGCCUUCACAUCUAUGAUCUAUUGCAGAACAAUAACUUCGGACAUUUGGUUUAAUUCCUCUGAAAUCAAUGUUCACUUUUAGUCCGCUAACCAUAAGUCAAAACAGAUAAAUCCAGCAAACUAUUCAGACAAUACUGUUUUUAAGACAAAGGGUGUGUUUCUUUAAUAAAGCAAGAGACAACCAUGCA
ensembl:lncRNA